CCUUCGGGAACUCUGAGACAGGUGCUUGCUGGCUGUCGUCAAGGAUCUUGUUGAGAAAUGUUGGGUUAAGUCCCGCAACGAGCGCAACCCUUUUCCUUUGUUGCCAGUCGGUUCGGCCGGGAACUCUAAGGAGACUCGCCAGUGAUAAACUGGAGGAAGGUGGGGAUGACGUCAANUCAUCAAGGCCCUUACGAGUAGGGCUACACCCGUGCUACAAUGGCAUAUACAAAGAGAAGCGACCUCCCGAGAGNAAGCNGAUCUCAUAAAGUNUGUCUGUAGUCCGGAUUGGAGUCUGCAACUCGACUCCAUGAAGUCGGAAUCGCUAGUAAUCGUGGAUCAGAAUGCCCCGGGGAAAACGUUCCCGGGCCUCG
rnacentral:rRNA from 1 species